GUGUUUCCAAGCUAUUUACACAAGGAUUAAGGAUGGAAUAUCAACUUCUGCUCAUUCGUCGCAAGGUUCAAUCAACCAAUGGUGCAGGGAAUUGAUGGUAUAGUCAGCCAUGAUUGCAUCAGAUUCUUCGCCCGUGAAAAUUAUACAAAGGAAUGCAACAUUUUGCUUUUGCUUUAGAGGGUGGAUUCUCCUGUUCGUUUCUUCCAUUCCUGGGACUUAACGAUAUACGUGAUUAAAAUCAAUGGAUCCGACACUUUGUGGAACUCUGUAGUGUUAGGCAGACGCGUACUUUGAAGGACCUGGAUGUGAUUACUUUGACCCACUUUUCACUAGGAAUAUGAAGUUUGUCGAGCAGUGAUUUUUGAUAUUCGGUGAAUAAAUCCGAAUUUGUGUUUGUCUUAAAAAUACAUUUA